rnacentral:rRNA from 1 species
ACAUAGCUCUAGGAAAAAGAAGCAUCUAGAGUGGUGCCUGCCCAAUGAUUAUUUUAAUGGCUGCGGUAUCUUGACCGUACUAAGGUAGCAUAAUAAAUUGCCUUUUAAUUGGAGGCUGGAAUGAACGGCUUUAGCGUGGGAGAGCUGUCUCAGAGGAGUUAUUUCGAAUUUGGGAAUAGAGUGCAGAAACUCUAAUAAAAUUGAAGGACGAGAAGACCCUAGGAGCUGGGGGUGUUAUUGGGGUUGACCUAGAUAGACUUCUUUGUUGGGGCGACGCUGGAACAGGAGGAGCUUCCAGAUAUAAUUUAAUUAUCUGUAUCAGAACCAGGACUAACGAACCUGAAUUCAGUGCAGCUACCCUAGGGAUAACAGCAUAAUACCCGCCAUGAGCCCAAAUCAUGGCGGGUGCUUGUGACCUCGAUGUUGGACUAGGGAUUACAGGAGAGUGCAGCAGCCCUCCGCAGUUAGUCUGUUCGACUAUUAAACCCCUAC